ACACCUCAACUCUCACGGUUCGCCGUGAUGAGCUUGGACUCUGGGGGUUUGCCGGUCUACGAUCGGCUCCUCUAAAACGAAUCAGCUCGCCAGUGUUUGGUGGCGUCACGAGUGUGAUAACUAUCUACGCUUGCGAUUGCCCACCAGGUAACCCUCAGCAAUGGAGGUUCACUGGGGCUCACAAACAUGUCUCUCCUCAGCGAGGACAGCUUUUGAAC
rnacentral:misc_RNA from 1 species